CUUUGUUUUUUUUUUUUUCUUUUUUCUUUUUCCCUUCUGAUGCUUUUGGUGCCAAAGCUUGAGGGAAGAAUUAGAAAUAGAACUUUUUGCUAGUUGAUUAUCCUAUUAUCUACAUAUUAUGAGUUGAGAAAUCGAUAUAAGAGAGAAUCUGACGGCUAGAAGGGACAUAGAUAUAGGUAGAUAAGAGGGGGAUGGAGCCUUUAUUAAAUGGAUUCAACUGAACUAGUGUUUUUUUGGUAUGGAACAUGUAUGUGAAAAAGAGAGCAUUAAAGUUUCAACUGUAGUUUGUAAUAGAGAAAGUUAAAUUGUGGAUCUGCCUCUGCGCGAGAUCUUAUCUAAAGCUUUCAUUUUUGGUUAAGAUGUUGCCAUACUUCAAUUUGAUCCCUGCCUGAUUUGGCCUUGACUUAAGCUAACGCGGGAACCAGAGAGACAGAGAUCGUGAAAGGGCACAAGCCAGAGGAAACCACAAGGCCAAGAAUCCUAAAAAUGAUGGAUUAACCCCUGAACAACGACGAGAAAGGGACGCAAAAGCCCUUCAAGAAAAGGCGAAAAAGAAAGCAGCACAGGUGGCUGGUGGAGGGAAUAUCGACAAAUCGGAAAGUUAUAACAUCAAGAA